GGAGGCAGCAGUGAGGAAUCUUGCGCAAUGGGCGAAAGCCUGACCCAACCCCCCCCCGUGCCCGAAGAAGGCCCUAUGGGUUGUAAACGGCUUUUAAGCAGGAAGAACGACCGGAUUUCGAUCUGGUGUGACGGUACUGCUUGAAUAAGCACCGGCUAACUCCCUGCCAGCAGCCCCGGUAAUACCGAAGGUGCAAGCGUUGUCCGGAAUCAUUGGGUGUAAAGGGUGCGUAAGCGGGCGUCUAAAUCUGGGGUGAAAUCUUGCCGCUUAACGGUAAAAUGGCCUUGGAUACUGGGCGUCUUGAGUGUAAAAAAAGUAAGUGGAAUUCCUAAUGGAACGGUGAAAUGCAUAAAUUUUACCAAGAACAUCAAUGGCGAAAGCGGCUUACUGGUCUACAACUGACGCUUAAGCACGAAAGCGUGGGGAGCGAACAGGAUUAGAUACCCUGGUAGUCCACGCUGUAAACGAUGCAUACUAAGUGUUGGCCUUUCGGGGCCAGUGCUGCAGUUAACGCAUUAAGUAUGCCACCUGGGGAGUACGUCCGCCACGAUGAAACUCAAAGGAAUUGACGG
rnacentral:rRNA from 1 species